CCGAUUUUGAUGUUUAUAACUGGCCUAUUCGGAUGUUCUUGGCUUUUAAAAUCGAUAAACAAAUCAAAGCUAUUAGGAUGUUCUGUUUGAUUCUGUCCAAGCUGUUGUUUUCAAAACAUAAUGUGGGUGGAUCUCCUGUAUCAAUAUUUUCACUCAUGGGAAGUAAUGCUGGUGAUGGACGUUUAGCUGCUGGUCACAAACGGCUUACAACAGCUACUCGGUAUGGUGACCGGAGGAACGCCGGCGACUGGAUGAGGACGGAGGGGGCGGCGUGGGAGGACGACGUCGCCGAGGGGGAGGCCCACAUGUUUGGUCCGUCUCAAACGGCUAAACUCGGACGGCGACGACGGGACGGAGGGGGACGGAUUUAACUUUGGAGGUAUCUUCUAUAUGGAGACGUAUCUGCAAAAGCAGGCCAUAUGUUUUCCCAGCCUGAGGUUUCUGAUUUCUUUGCUAAGUUAAUACAAAGGGUCUCACCAAAGAGUUACCAGUAGGCUCUCGGUGUGGUUUAUGUUAACGGAAAGUUUUUAGAAAACUUUUCUGGUGAUCAGGUGCGUUUCUUGGCAAGGUCGUUCGGAGUACCUGGGAAUCAUCUUGGGCAACAAAGUCAUGGUUUCCGAUGGCCAUAUGGCCCUGACAGGAGGAUUAUAACAGAUUAAGACCGCUGAGUUACUGUGGGCGGACGUUUUCAUUUUGGCGUUUUCCUUUAUCAGCAAAGCUAGCUAUGAAACUGUGUCUAAGAAGUGGAUUCCAGAGUUGACACAUUAUGCACCUGGUGUGCCAAUCGUCCUUGUUGGGACCAAACUUGGUGAGUCAAUAACGAAUUAUUUAUUCUUUUAUCUCAAAACAUGAAAAUAUAUUUGUCAUAAUCUUGUCAAUAUAUUCGACCAAGAUGACUUAGGGGGUUCGGCCUUGCAACUUCCCUCAUUUUAGCUUGUGUGGUAUGAUUAUAUUCCUAUUAAUCAUUCUUUUGAUCAUCUAUCAUUGUUUAAAAUGCUUCUAUCUGAUAAUGACAAUAUUGGAAGGUGAUGUAUGAUGCAUCGUGUGUACCAGUGCAAUCUGGGCACAAAUCAGAGGCUUACUUAUAUUAACCCAUGGUCCAAAAUUCCCUUUUCAGGGUUUAUUGCAAUCUUGGUUUUAAAUUGCGUGAUGCGCUCCGAUGCGUUUAGUCCAAAAAUCUGAUGCGCGAUGCAUGAUGCGCGAUGCGAGCGCAUCACGUAUGUGAUGCGUUCUUUAUAAAAAAAAAUAGUUAAAAAUUAUUUAUACAUAAAAACUUAUAAAAACAUACUUAAAGUAAAACAACUGACGUAAUUAAAGGUAAGAGUUGUGUUUUUUGGUUCAAAUCAAGCAUACUAAGAUGUUAAUUAUGGAAAAAACCGAACACAGUUCAUAAAAUCUGGAAAAAAGCAUAAAAAAACAAUGUUGCGCGCAUCAGAGCGCAUUAUGCGAUGAGCGCAUUAUGCGAAAUGCGCGCAAUAUUCUCGCAUCACGUAAACGCAUCGCAUCAGCUGUUGCGAUGCGCUCUCAUUAGCGCAUCGGGCGCAUCACGCAUUAUGCGCGCAUUUUAAAACCAAGAUUGCAAUGAUGGCUGCUUUAGGAACAUUGCUUGCAGAUUUUCUUAGCACUCAGUAUUAUGAACGGAAACAUGAGAAGCAGAUCCAAGGCGUUAGAGUUGACUCGGUUGACUUGGCUUCAGAGGCCGGGAUUGUCCCGGUCCCAGUUGCUGGUAAAGAGGAAGGAGGUGGAAUUCAUAUUGUCGGAAUGCAUGCUCAUGCUGCACAACAUAGACAAAAUCAUGCAAGCGGGUAAGAGGGAUGUGAAGGAACUUGAGUGAGCAUUUGGAUGAUUACUCUAUUACCCAUUCCCAAUUUCCCAUCCCAUUCCCAUUCACAUUCACAUUCACAUUCCCAUGGGUUUGGUGAUGAUGAAGAUGAAAGCGGCAUACGACAUGUUGUGGUUUCUCAGGUUUUGGAACUUGAAAUCAUAUCACACUCGGGCUUUCGCUCAGAGUGUCACAAAGCCCAUGAACAAUCAGACCUUUCUUAGGCGCGCUAUCUUUCCAUCAAUUCUUUGAAGGAUUUGCGCUCGGUGGCUGCAUCUCACAGGCCAAAUUCGGGAACCUUCAUUCCACUGUAAUGUUCAUUAAGCAGCCAGGGCGUGUUGUCGAAGAGUGCAAAUUGAGAGUGGUAUAUCUUCCUCCACCCCAACCACCUUCACCCGUUCUUGAAGAUCCCACUGAAGGGGCGGCUUCACCCAAAGUGUCAUUUAACAGUGAGAAUUUAAAUGGACCCGAGGUUACAAGACAAAUUAUGAAUUUUGAUGAUAAAUCCUUUAAGGUGAGUUGAUGUGUGUGGACCGAAAGAAACGGGCCCACCUUAGAUUUCAGAAUCUUAACAUCUAAUAUUCGUAUGCUAUGUUGAAGCAACUUUUUAAUAUAAACUCAGCAGCACGUUUUAUCACAGAUACGUUUGUUACGGAUUAUUGAAAUAGUUAUUCUUCAAUCUACAACCAGAACUGAUUUAGAGGUGGCAAAGUGCAUGGGUUGUGUGGGGGGACUGAGUAACUGGUCAAAACGGGUUCGGGUCAUCCAGAGAAUUUUUAGUAUGGGUCCUUUGGGUUUGGCGGACAUAUAUCACUCUUUGUUCAAGAUUUUUAAAUUUGUUAUAAACAUUUAGUGUGCCAAAUAUUUGCUACCAAUGUUAUAUGUGUGACCAAAAAUUUGUUAUUUUAAUAUACUUUUAUA